UGCUUUCUCAACUAAAGAGGUUGGAAACCUAAAACAUUCACCAUUCCAGACUUCUCAGUUAGAAACAUCCAUGGGCCUAAGUUCUAGCCAAUAAGAUGUUACCAAAGUGAUUGGGUGCAGCUCUGGGAAAGUUUGAUUUUUUUAAAGGGACAUAGGUGGCUGACGUAUUUUAUCCCUUUGUUGUUUGCCCAUCCCUUUUUAUUUCUAGCUGGAACGUGCAGUGCAAUGCAAGAAGCAUAGCAGCCAUCUUGUGACCAUCAGUUUUAAUGUGUCAAGGAUGAGGGAGUCAGAAAAUAGAAGAAGCCUUGUCCCUGACACUGUGGAGUUGCUAUGUCAGGCAUUGACUUCCUGUCCCACCUCACAUAGUGUGUGAGAUCAACUCUUGGAGUAAGCCACCUGCUAUAGUUUGGUUAGUUCGACUUUCUUUAAAUGUCAUGUUGAAAUUUGUUCCCCAGUGUUAGAGUGGGGCCUAAUAGGAGGUGUUUGGGUCAUAGAGGUGGAUCCCUCAUGAAUGUUUUGAUGCUGUCACCAAGGUAACGAGUGAGUUCUCACUCUAUUAGUUUCUGCAAGAGCUGGUUGUUAAAAAGAGCCUGGCAGCCGCUGCUCCUCUCUCUUGUUCCCCUCUCACACAUGAUUGCUGCACACACCAGCUCCCCCUUCACCUUCCACCAUGAGUAGAAGCAGCUCGAACCUUUCAUCAGAUGCCCAACUUACAACCAGCAGAGUUGUGAACCAAAUAAAGCUUUAUUGUUUAUAAAUUACCCAGCCUCAGGUAUUCCUUUGUAGCAACACAAACAGACAAAGACAUCACCAUUAGCAGAUUCUUAAUUACUUGUAGUUGAACUCUGUCUUAACUGACACAGGGUUGAUGAACUGCAUUUGCCUCAGUGCCACAGGGUAAGGGAGAAUGGGAACUCAUGUUUAUUGAGCAACUUCCACAUGUCAGGUGAUAACCUCUCAGUUAAUCCCUAUAAUGACUAUACCACUUUCAAUAUUCUCGCUUUACAGGUGAAAGUGAGACAACAAGAAACUCACCCAAGGCCACAUAUCCAGUUUAUGGAAGAACUCGGCUUUACACUCAGUCUUGCCUGGAUCCCAAUAUAUGUUACACCAAACCUUGAUGUUGCAUAAGAACCAAGAUGCAUGAAUGAUUCAGGUUAAGAGAGAUUCUUUAGAACUUACUAAUGCUUGGCAUGAGGUCUUUGAUUAAAUAUUGAUAUCAACAACCAUAAAUUUCAACGACUUCUACUAACUCUUUGGCUUUGAUUAUCUAUCACUGGGCAUUACGUGGAAGCCCAACAGAUGCUGUCUCUCACUUCAAGGCAAACUUCAAGCUUCCAGAUGCAUUUGCAUUGGCCUGGGAAUCCCUCGUGCACUCAAAGACAUGAGGGAGCAGGAACCAAGCCAGAGAACGUCACUCAGCUGCUGCAGUUGAAAGAAUCACUUCUGAGGACAAGUUCAAACCAUUACUUCUCCACUUCAGAGCACCCAAAGUAUACAGUUUAGACUAUUUUAAUUGCAUGACUUUAUCACACUUUGUUUUAAAGGGUUUCUCAUGCCUUGUGACAUUCCUGGCUUAAACUGUAAAGUCCUUGAGAGCAGAAACCAAGACACUCAUAGAGCCCACCCAUUGCCUGGCAUUGAGCUGCAUAAGUGUGGGGUGAAUAAGAACCCAAUGGUGAUAGCUUCUGCCUGUGGAGUGCCCCCUGUGACAGGGGACUGCAUAUCUGAGCCCACUUUCAUCACCACAACAACCUGCAAGGGAGGAAUUAUUAACCUUGUUGUACAGGUGAGAAAACUGGCGAGGAUGAUGAUAGUGGAAGCCAACAUCUUCUUAAGUUCUUAUUACGCAUCAGUCACUGUGCUAAGCACAUUAUUUCACUUAAUCCCCACAAUAACCCUAGGAGUUAUAAAUUUUAUGUAUGUACAUAUUUAUUUAUUUAUUUAUUUUGAGACAG
rnacentral:lncRNA from 10 species